GCGCGCCCGCCACCGCGCUGCGGCGCCCGCCGAUGACGUCAGGCCGGGAGCAGCGAGUUGGCAGCUCCGUGCGGCUAGAGCGGCCUGUGAACCGUGGGGCGGGUAAGUUGUGAGUUAAGAGCUUCCGUGGCGCGUGAGUGCGGGUGGGCGUUGGAAGUCUGAGUCGGUCAAAAAAAAAAAAGCGGUGCUUAAUCCGCCUUCGCGGGUAUGGCCCUUGGGGUUGGGGGAUGUGGGCGGCCUCGCCCUGCCUGCUCGGCGUUGCCGGGCAGGGAAAAGGCGGGGUCGCCCACCUGCAUCGCGGUGGUUUCCCUGGGGUUGGAAAGCUGGGUGAAUGGCGGCUAAUUACGGCCUCAGAGGGGCGGCGCAGGAAGGUAACUGGUGUCCGAGAAUUUAAGGUGUGUGCGUUUUGUAGAAACAACGAGCUGCGGAAAUGAUGGCCGUGGCCGCCGAACCGUAGUCAUUCAGCCUGAAGCUUGAGAUUUGAAGUCGUGAAGGACUCUAGAUUUGAAUAUUAGCCUUGUGGAAUGAAAUGAUACUUGGCUCACAGGGCUGUUGAAAAGCUGGAAUGAGAUAAUGAAUACUACGCGCAUUAUAAAUUGGUAAAAGCGAUAAUAGCACUGCUCCAUGGGAUUUUCAUGGCUGUAAUCUUUACUGAAGCAGAUCGCCAGGCCUGUCUUCUGUGAUGCCACUGGCGUAAUGGCUGGAACUACAGCAAGGAACUCUGUGACAGGAACAGAACUUACUCACAUUUGGACAUUAAUAUUGGCUAACCCCAGGUCAAGUCUGUGGGCCAAGGAACAGAGAAGGGACCACGUGGGAAUUUGCCACUGUUAAUCCAUCAGUUCUGGGGAAGGCGGCGGAGGUGGGUGCUGAGCAAAGGUUCUGAAGGUCAGCAUAUGCCACGCCUGCCUCUGUGCUAAAACUAGACGGACAUGUAUGUUUCACAUGUCUGUGACAGGAAGGUUUUCAUGGCUGUUUCCUAUAAAAAGGUUUAUGUAGUCCAUGAUUCUGAAUCAUGACGCCUUCUACCUGUGGUCUCUGGAAAGGGUGUAAGGGGACGGGGAAAUUACUCUGUCUGAAUGUCUGAAGGAUUCAGGCAAAAAUCUUCCAUUUACUUUAAACCAGACAAGUUGAAAGAAGGCCGAAGUUCCUAUAAAGUGUAUUUAAAGUGGCUGUGCUGCCUCUGUGUUUAAUUUCUAACGGGUAAUACUUUCAUGGAGCUAUGUAAACCAACAACAUCUAUAGUAAACGUGCUGAAGAGAAAAAAAGGAAUUAACUGGCCAGUCCCUGGGUGAAGUAAGUUCCAUCUCUGGAAAUCUUGGGUUUUGCUUAUCAAUACCCUGUCAAUACAGCUUUCCUGUGUGCUGACUCCAGCGUUUCCAUAGGGUCUUUUUUAGAGAUAGAUGAAAAAAGAUAGAGGAAGAGGGAGUAGCUGGAAACAGGUAGGAAAAAACAGCAAAGAGGAAAAAUCUUCAUAACUCACAACUAAAACAAAACAAAACAAACCCAGUUGCCAUUGAACUGGUUCCUAUUCAUGGUGAUCCCAUGAGUGUCAGAACAGAACUAUGCUCCAUAGGGUUUUUGUUGUUAGUUGCUGACAAGUUGAUUCCAACUCACAGUGACCCCAUGUGUGCAGAGUAGAACUGCUCCAUAAGGGUUUGCAAGGCUGUGACCUUAUGGAAGCAGAUCACCAGGCCUUACUUUCAAGGUGCCUUUGGGUGGAUUUGAACUGCCAACCUUUUGGUUAGUAGUCCAGCACUUUACCAUUUGUGCCACCCAGGGACUCCAUUAUUCUCUUUUUUAAAAUUAUGCAUAAAGUAAAAAGUUUACAGAGCAAAUUAGAUACUCAUUCGAUUGGUUAUACAUAAAGUGUUUCAUGGCCUUGGUUUCAUUCCCUGCAAUGUGUCAGCGCUCUUCCCAUUUCCGCCCUGGGUUCCCUGUUUCCUUUCAUCCUGAUUUUCUACCCCUUUCUGUCUUUUCAUCUUUGCUUUUGGGCAAAUGUUGUCCAUCUGAUCUCUUAGAAUUGAUUAUUCUAAGGAACACAUCCCUCUUGGGUGUUACUGUUUAUUUUAUGAGCUUGUCUAUUGUUUGGCUGGAAGGUGGUCUCUGGGAAUGGCUUCAGUUCCAGGUUAGAAGAGUGUCUUAGGGCCAUAGUCUCGGGGGUUCUUCCAGUCUCUGUCAGACCAGUAAGUCUGGUCUUUUUUGUGAAUUUGAUUUUUUGUUCUACAGUUUCCUCCCGCUCUAUCUGUGACCCUCUGUUGUGAUCUUGGUCAGAGUGGUCAGCAGUGGUAGCUGGGCACCAUCUAGUUCUUCUGGUCUUGGGUCAUAUAGGCUGUGGUUCACACGGUCCAUUAGUCCUUUGGACUAAUUGUUCCCUUGAGUCUUUGGUUUUCUUCAUUCUCCUUUGCUGUGGACAGAAAGAGGCCAAUAGUUGUAUCUUAGGUGGCCAUCUGCAAGCUGUUAAGACCCCAGACGCUACUCACCAAAACAGGAUGCAGAACAUUCUGUUUAUGGUGUGAGCUAUGUUGUGUCAAUUGAUGUAGGUGGGACUCCAUUAUCCUUGUUGAAAUGAGUAAAAAAGAAUUACUACUGUUUCCCUUUCAGUUCCCAUAGCUACAAAAGAAGCUCAAGACACACAGAUGGAUUUUAUGAUGUUGCUAAGUUUUGCAUCUGAGUUAUAUUACUGAGAUACUUCGUACUUGCAAAGAUGGGUUUUUUUCCCCAUGCUUAAAUUAAUGAAGGGAAACUUGUUAUUUGGAAUGAAAAAAGAAAAGAGUACUUACCUUUGUA